AUACAUGCCUGGUAGGGGAGACACCAUGAUCAGAAAGACGGUUUACACAUGGUGAGGACCACCUAUUGCACUGCGACCUGGGCUGACCUGUGUGAAUAUCCAGAAUGUGGGAAUCUUGACUGCAUAAUUUCUGAUAGUGGAGGACUGCGCCCGUGCUCUACCUUG